AACGAACGCUGGCGGCAUGCCUAACACAUGCAAGUCGAACGGGAUCCUGGUUUCGGCCAGGUGAGAGUGGCGGACGGGUGAGUAACGCGUGGGAACCUGCCCAGUGGUGGGGGAUAACUGCGGGAAACUGCAGCUAAUACCGCAUGAGCCCGAAAGGGGAAAGAUUGAUCGCCAUUGGAGGGGCCCGCGUUCGAUUAGGUAGUUGGUGAGGUAACGGCUCACCAAGCCUUCGAUCGANAGCUGGUCUGAGAGGAUGAUCAGCCACACUGGGACUGAGAUACGGCCCAGACUCCUACGGGAGGCAGCAGUGGGGAAUAUUGGACAAUGGGGGCAACCCCUGAUCCAGCAAUGCCGCGUGAGUGAUGAAGGCCUUGGUU
rnacentral:rRNA from 1 species